CAUGCCGUAAACGUUGGGCGCUAGGUGUGGGGCUCAUUCCACGAGCUCCGUGCCGCAGCUAACGCAUUAAGCGCCCCGCCUGGGGAGUACGGCCGCAAGGCUAAAACUCAAAGGAAUUGACGGGGGCCCGCACAAGCGGCGGAGCAUGCGGAUUAAUUCGAUGCAACGCGAAGAACCUUACCAAGGCUUGACAUAUACCGGAAACAUCCAGAGCUGGGUGCCCCGCAAGGUCGGUAUACAGGUGG
rnacentral:rRNA from 1 species